UUUUCUGUCAGAUUAAUCUAUUACUGCAUGAAUGAAUGCAGUAUCUUUUCUUGUUGAAUAAACUUGAAUCAUUUUUAAACUGCAGCAAAUUAUCACCAAACUAACUUAAACUCAAAAGACCCUUUAAACUAUCCGCUCAGAGAUUUACAGGAACAUAAACAGUGCAUUAAACACCAAAACUCCAGGCCUGUAACGUUGCUGGGGAGUGUGUGGUGGCCUUUAAAACAGUAAAUGGCCUCUUCACUCUUAUGAGCUGAAAUAAAACCAUUAACAGAUCACCUGAACGGCUUCCCAGGCAGCUGAAAGGCGAAAUUCCCUCCUCUGAAGCGGUAGAUCUUUCUGUAGUCCCUCCUCUACCGAACAGCCACGCGAUCCUUUAUCGCCAUGGCAACGAUUCUCCAAACCCCGUCCGAGGUAAGUCACAACCGGUCCAUGAAUUCCUCCCAGUCACAUCCUUAACUAAACUAAACGCAAUGUUGGACUGUAGGAAAGCAGUCAGAUAGACCACUCUUUUGUGCUCAAUCACGAGAAUUAGCGUAGCUUCGGCUGCUCUGUGCAGCACUCACAAGAAAGAACUCUUAAACUUUACUCUCGUACAGAUUAUAUACACAAAUCAAAUAAAUAAAAGUAGUUAUAAUACUUGGUCUGCUAAAUACAUAACUUUAACACACUUUGCCAGUGAAUAUUUAAUCUAUAUUAG